rnacentral:rRNA from 1 species
GACAAAAUAAAUAUUGUCUCUAUUGUUAAAAUAAAAUUUAACUUUUAAGUGAAAAGGCUUAAAUUAGCCAGAGUGACGAUAAGACCCUAUAAAGCUUUAUAUUUGUAUUUUAUUUUAAAAAAUUAAUUUAAUUAUAAAUUUAAAAUACUUUAAUUAAUUGGGGCGAUGUAUAAAUAAUUUCUUUAACUUUAUGUAUUUAAAACAUUUAUGUAUGUAGUGUAGAUUAAUAGAUCCUUAAUAUGGAUUAAAGGAAAGUUACUUUAGGGAUAACAGCGUAAUUUUUUUUGAGAGUUCAUAUCGAAAAAAAAGAUUGCGACCUCGAUGUUGAAUUAAAAAUUCUAUUUAAUGCAGCAGUUAAAUAAGAAGGUCUGUUCGACC